UAGGCCAUUUUACUUUGCAAGCAAGAUAGGAGUAACAAAAUAUAAAGAGAGAUUACUGCUUUUCCUGUGAGCCUGCAGGAGGUGUUUCUGGCUUAUUAGUUCUAACUUAAUUAUUACUUCUACUUUUGGGAAACAGUCUGUUUUCACGCUGCUCAUAAAGAAAGACAUUCCCAACAGUGGGCAAUUUACAAAAGUAGAGGUUUAAUGGACUAACAGUUCCACAUGUUUGGGGAAGCCUCACAAUCAUGGCAGACGGCGAAAGACACCUCUUACAUGGCGGCAAGCAAGAGGAGAGCUUGUGAGAUACGGAGAAUAAUAUUCAAAAGGCGGAAGCGUCAAUCCAUGAUUGUACAACCAGUCAGUAGUGAAACCAGGCGAAAGAAAAAAUAUAAAAACAAGCUAGCCAUCAGAUCUUUACGAUUCUAAACCAGAAUAUUCUGGCAUGCUGAGGAGUAGUCUCUACAUUUACCUACAGGAACUAAAAAGCACACAGAAGGAGACCUUGUAAAUUGCCGUCCAUUCCAGGAGUGAUCCCGGCCUUCCUUUUGGCACCAGACACAUAUUUACUUGUUCAAGUGGAGCUCUGUGUAAGAUUUCAUGACCAGAGUUUAGGCGUGGGGUGGGGAGACUUCUGCUCUGAAUCAUGGAAGAUGGCAGUCAAGUAUGAAAAUGUAUAUUCUUCUUCAGUUUUGAAAACAGAUAUAAAAUAAAUUAACAUUUUUAUAUUUAUCUA